rnacentral:misc_RNA from 1 species
AAACGGAAGGAGGAAUGUUGGAAUGCGAUACCGGAAGUAUUGUUUGGGUCCGAAGGCGAAAUGGGUCAUGGUGGCCUGGGAAAAUAUUGGGGACUAAUGAGCUUUCUGCAACUCAUCUGAUGUCUCCACGAUCUGGAACUCCAGUCAAGCUUCUUGGCAGGGAAGAUGCUAGUGUGGAUUGGUAUAACUUGGAGAAGUCAAAACGCGUCAAAGCAUUUCGUUGUGGUGAAUUUGAUGAUUG